rnacentral:rRNA from 1 species
UACAGAGGUCUCGAGCGUUGUUCGGAUUCAUUGGGCGUAAAGGGCGCGUAGGCGGCGGGGUAAGUCUGGUGUGAAAUCUCGAAGCUCAACUCCGAAAUUGCACUGGAUACUGCUCUGCUAGAGGGCUGGAGAGGAGAUCGGAAUUCACGGUGUAGCAGUGAAAUGCGUAGAUAUCGUGAGGAAGACCAGUGGCGAAGGCGGAUCUCUGGACAGCUCCUGACGCUGAGGCGCGAAGGCUAGGGGAGCAAACGGG